GCACUGGUAGCUCAGUAGUAGAGUUCUUGCUUUCCACGCAGGAGACCCAGGUUCAAUCCCCAGCCAAGGCA
rnacentral:tRNA from 1 species